rnacentral:rRNA from 1 species
UACAGAGGGGGCAAGCGUUAUUCGGAAUUACUGGGCGUAAAGGGCGCGUAGGCGGCCUGUUAAGUCGAACGUGAAAUCCCCGGGCUCAACCCGGGAACUGCGUCCGAUACUGGCAGGCUUGAAUCCGGGAGAGGGAUGCGGAAUUCCUAGUGUAGAGGUGAAAUUCGUAGAUAUUAGGAAGAACACCAGUGGCGAAGGCGGCUCACUGGAUCGGUACUGACGCUGAGGUGCGAAAGCGUGGGGAGCAAACAGG